UGCGUAGGUGGCGGGGUAAGUCUGGUGUGAAAUCUCGGGGCUCAACCCCGAAACUGCACUGGAUACUGCCUUGCUUGAGUACUGGAGAGGAGAUUGGAAUUUACGGUGUAGCAGUGAAAUGCGUAGAUAUCGUAAGGAAGACCAGUGGCGAAGGCGAAUCUCUGGACAGUUACUGACACUGAGGCACGAAGGGCCAGGGGAGGCAAACG
rnacentral:rRNA from 1 species